rnacentral:rRNA from 1 species
AUAUAGGAUAGUGAGACGAGUACCCGGCGAAUUGAAACAUCUUAGUAGCCGGAGGAAAAGAAAAUAAAUAAUUAGCUUUUAGCUUUUAGGCUUUUAGGUUUUAGGUUUUUCCUAAUAGCUAAUACCUAUAAGCUAUAAGCUGAUACAUUCCCUAAGUAGCGGCGAGCGAAAGGGGAACAGCCCAAACCUAUCAAACUGCGAACCGGUUUACCGGUUCAGAAGGUUCUAGGACCAUAUGUUUAAUAGGUGUUACAAGAUAGUUGUGUUCACUUCCUAGACAAAGUGAGGUAGAGAAAAAUAUAUAACUUACCUAGUUGAAGCGAGCUGGAAAGCUCCGCCAGAGAAGGUGAUAGCCCUGUAAUGCGAAAGGUGUUAUUAAUCUACGACAGCAAUUCUUAAGUACUGCGGGACUCGAGAAAUCCCGUGGGAAUUCGGGUCGACUAUGACCCAAGGCUAAAUACUUUUUAUGAUCAAUAGUGAACUAGUACCGUGAGGGAAAGGUGAAAAGCAUCCCGGUGAGGGAGGUGAAAUAGUACCUGAAACCAUAUACUUACAAAGAGUCGGAGCCCACUCGUUGGGUGACGGCGUGCCUAUUGAAGAAUGAGCCAACGAGUUUAUGUGCGUGGCUUAGCUAAUUUCCGUUUGGAAUGUAGCUAUAGUGAAAGCGAGGGUUAAUAGCCCGUAUCUUACUUAUUAGAAAGUAGAUCCUUUAAUCUUCUUUCUAAUAUUUAAGAAGGUCGCGUAUAUAAGACCCGAAGCCGUGUGAUCUAACCAUGGCCAGGUUGAAUCCUUGAGAAAUCAAGGAAGAGGACCGAACCCACUAGUCGUGCAACACUAGGGGAUGAGUUGUGGUUAGCGGAGAAAUUCCAAUCGAACUCGGCAAUAGCUGGUUCUCCUCGAAAUAGCUUUAGGGCUAGCCUCGGAUGCUGACUGUUGGGGGUAGAGCACUGAAUGGGAACGGGCCGCAAGGUACCUUUCUCAACCAAACUCCGAAUACCAGCAGGUGUAGUCCGGGAGUUAGACUAUGGGGGCUAAGCUCCAUUAGUCGAAAGGGAAACAGCCCAGACCGUUAUCUAAGGUCCCUAAAUAUAUGCUAAGUGUAAAAAGUUGUGUCGCGACUUCGACAACUAGGAGGUUGGCUUAGAAGCAGCCAUCCUUUAAAGAAAGCGUAACAGCUCACUAGUCAAGUUGUUUCGCGCUGAAAAUUUAUCGGGGCUAAGCAUAUUACCGAAGAUACGGAUUUAUCACCUUCGGGUGAUAAGUGGUAGAGGAGCAUUUUUAAUCCACUGAAGCAAAAUCGUGAGGUCUUGUGGAGGAUUAAUAAGAGAGAAUGUUGGCAUGAGUAGCAAAAAGGCGGGUGAAAACCCCGCCCACCGUAAGCCUAAGGGUUCCUGGGCAACGCAAAUCGACCCAGGGUUAGUCGGUCCUAAGACGAGGCUCGUGUAGUGCGAGCGUAGCCGAUGGAUGAGCUGGUCAAUAUUCCAGCACUACUGCAGUUUUCCAAUGGGGGGACGCAGUUUCAAGUUUUGAGCGUUCCAUGGUAUGAACGUUAAUUGCCUUAAGAAACGAUCCAGGUAAAUCCGGAUCACCAGUUUCAAGGGGUUGUUUGAAGAUGAAGCUUCGGUGGAAUCAAUUCAAAAGGAGAGACUGCCUAGAAAAACCUCUAGGGCUAAGACUGUAGUAACCGUACCGCAAACCGACACAGGUAGGCGAGGCGAGUAGCCUCAGGUGUACGAGAGAACCUUCGUUAAGGAACUAGGCAAAAUAGCGGCCGUAACUUCGGGAUAAGGCCUCCCCGGUGUAAACCGGGGCGCAGCUAAAGACGCGCGAAUGACUGUUUACCAAAAACACAGCUCCCUGCUAACUCGUAAGAGGAUGUAUAGGGGGUGAUGCCUGGCCAGUGUCCGAACGUUAAGGGGAGAGGUGAAUUCCGGUUUACCGGAAGGCAGCUUUGAACUGAAGCGCGGAUGAACGCCGGCGAUAACUAUAAUCGUCCUAAGGUACCGAAAUUCCUUGUCGGGUAAGUUCCGACCUGCAGGAAUGGCAUAACAAUUUGCGCACUGUCUCAACGAAGGACUCGGCGAAAUUGCAAUACGAGUAAAGAUGCUCGUUAACCAUAGUCGGACGAAAAGACCCCGUGAAGCUUUACUAUAGCUUAAUAUUGGGUUAGGACUAUGCAUGUUCAGUAUAGGUGGGAGAUCUUCGGAUCAUCAGUGAGAUACCACCCUUGUAUAUUUUUAAUUCUAACUUGUAGCCUUAUAACAGGCACAAGGACAGUAUUUGGUGGGUAGUUUGUCUGGGGCGGAUGCCUCCCAAAAAGUAACGGAGGCGUUUACAAAGGUUGGCUAUCCCGGAAUGGAAACCCGGGAGAUAGUGUAAAGGCAAAAGCCAGCUUUACUGCGAGACCUACAAGUCAAGCAGUUGCGAAAGCAGAACUUAGUGAUCCGACCGUUCGAUAUAGGACGGCGGAAGCUCAUCGGAUAAAAGCUACUCCGGGGAUAACAGGCUAGUCUGGUCCAAGAGUUCACAUCGACGACCAGGUUCGGCACCUCGAUGUCGGCUCGUCGCAUCCUGGGGGUGAAGAAGCUCCCAAGGGUUGGGCUGUUCGCCCAUUAAAGCGGCACGCGAGCUGGGUUCAGACCGUCGUAAGACAGGUCGGUCUCCUAUCCACUAUGGUCGCGGAAAUUUGAGAAGUCCCUUUCCUAGUACGAGAGGACCGGAGAGGACGAAGCUCUAGUGUACCAGCUGUUCUACCAAGGGCAUUGCUGGGUAGCUACCUUCGGUUUGGAUAAGCGCUGAAAGCAUAUAAGCGCGAAGCCGUCUUCAAGAUUAGAUUUCAUAGAUUCGUGAGAGACUAUCACGUUAAUAGGCUCUAGGUGUAAGCGUGGCAACACGUUCAGCCGAGGAGUACUAAUAUAUCAUAUAAUUUUCCCA